CCGCCUGUGUGUAGGAGCUCAUUAAAGAGCCUUGUAUUUUGCUCCAGGAAAAGAAUAAUAGUAAGAGAAUCAAAGAAACCUGGGGGCUACAGAGAUGGCUCAGUGCCAGCGUGAGCACCUGAGUUCAUUCCUCAGCACCCACAUAAAAGACAGAUUGGCUGUGAACAUCUGGAACCCUAGUGUUGGGGAGCAAAGACAGACUAAGAAAGCUGAGAAGUCACAAGGCCAAGAAAGAGCAUUCUCGCAGAGCCGGCUAAGGACUUCAGGGUGGAGUAGCUGGUGGCAGCCUGUCCUCUUCACCCAAACUUAAGUAUUUUUUUCCUUCAGGUGUGGUGACACAUAUCUUUGAUCCCCGAAUUCAGAAGGCUGAGGUAAGAUUGGGAGUUAAAGGAUAGCCUGGCUUCACACUGGCUUUGUCUCAAAACACAAAACAAAACUUUUUUUAAAAAAAAAUACAGGUAGAAAAAGUAAAUUCUAAGGCUCUGUAACCAUAUAGAAGGGUGAGUGCUGCUCACAGUCAUGUGUUAUG